GCCUGGGUGGCUCAGUCGGUUGAGCGUCCGACUUCAGCCCGGGUCACGAUCUCGCGGUCCGUGAGUUCGAGCCCCACGUCGGGCU
rnacentral:tRNA from 1 species